rnacentral:rRNA from 1 species
CCUACGGGAGGCAGCAGUCGAGAAUCAUGCACAAUGGGGGAAACCCUGAUGGAGCGACGCCGCGUGGGGGAAUGAAGGUCUCCGGAUGGUAAACCCCGUUCAUGUGGGAGCAAAUUAAAAAGAUAGUACCACAAGAGGAAGAGACGGCCAACGCUGUGCCAGCAGCCGCGGUAAUACAGAGGGCUCAAGCGGUGUUCGGAAUCACUGGGCGUAAAGCGUGCGUAGGCGGUUUCGUAAGUCGUGUGUGAAAGGCGCGGGCUCAACCCGCGGACGGCACAUGAUACUGCGAGGCUAGAGUAAUGGAGGGGGAGCCGGAAUUCCCGGUGUAGCGGUGAAAUGCGUAGAUAUCGAGAGGAACACUCGUGGAGAAGGCGGGUUCCUGGACAUUAACUGACGCUGAGGCACGAAGGCCAGGGGAGCGAAAAGGAUUAGAUACCCCGGUAGUC